UUGAAAUGUUUUGAAGGGGACUGUUGCUGGCCUUGUAACAAAGGCAUGUGCACGUUUCCUUUCAAUCUAUUCAUCCACCUGUGCACCUUUCUGUAGAAGCUUUUUCAGGUCGUUGUUAGGGGCUGUACUUCAGUGCAGCUCUGUUGAUGAUUCUGGGCUUCUAUGUCUUACAAACUCAAAUAAAAUGUAAUUGAAUGUCUCUUUAUUGGUACUUAAUUGGACCUUUAAAACUUAUA
rnacentral:misc_RNA from 1 species